ACGGAAUUGGAAAUUUUAAUGAGCGCGUAUGCCGAGCAGUUACCAAGAGAGAGCUUGGCCUGAAAUAGCUGAACAAGUCAAUGCAAUUGCCCCAAGAGGACUUGGCGGCAAAUGAAGAUGAAGUACAAAAAUAUAGUUCAAACAGCAAAUCGAAAAAAAGAAGAGGCCCGGAAGACUGGAGGGGGUCCACCUCUGCAGCCCUCACAGAGGCUGAGGAGAUGGCCCUCAGACAACAGAGUAUGCGUCAUGUGGCUGAGGGCAUCCCUGGGGGGAGCUCCUCUGAUCCCCCCCCACCCCCCAGGAUAGAAGUGCCUUUAUAAGAGUUACUGAUGGCGUCAUCGCCCUACUUGAACCAGAUGCCCUCACCAACCUCCAUGCAAUUGUAACAAUUCAAAAGAUGCAAAAGGAUGCUUUGGAGAUCCACAUUUUGGAACAUAAGUUAAAGAUAUCUGGCACCUAUACAAAAAACUGUGCUGGACCAUUUUGAAACCACAGUUGUAAUUGGGUUGGUGUUUGUUGUUUUUAAUACUUCUUUGUAGCAUAAGACUGUAUCAGUGAUGUAACUCAGCAAAACGUCCGUAAAUGCUAAAGCUAUGAAUCAAUUUAAGUUUGGCUCCCAUUGCUGGCUUAUGAGGCUUAUUUUCCAAGACCUUUUUCUAUUUGAUAUGUUUUUCUAUGACUUACAAAAGCAACACUUAAUUAGCAACCUUAGUUAACAUUUAAAAGGUGAAUAAUAUACUGCACAAAUGUCAAAGAAACGAUUGAAUGAUGUCUUCACAGGGCUGACACAAAGGCUGUGCGAGGAUUGUGGUUGAAGACCAGCCGACCCGAAGACCCGUAGGUGUAAGGGGUCGGGAGAGGACCCAAAUGCAGCACACGUAGGCAGGCAGACAGUCGGCUCCAGUGUACAGCCUAGGACAGAGCCAGCCCUUCCCACCAGGUGUGUAGUCUCUUCCUGUCCCUCUCAGUGGACCCACAACCCCGACAGACUACUGCAUAAAAAAUUACAGAUGCAACAACAGUGUCAUAAAAAGUCCUUAACAGCGGCCUGCACGCCCCAAAAGACCUCAAUCUUCUCAGCAAGUGCAGACGACUUUGGCCCUUCUUGUACAAGGCAUCUGUGUUAUGUGACCAGUCCAGUUUAUUGUUGAGGUGAGCCCCCAGGUAUUUGUAGACUGAUACAACCUCAAUGUCGCCUCCCUGGAUGUUCACUGGUGCAAUUGGUGGUGCCUUCCGGCUGAAGUGAGGCCCGCCUCUCCCUAUAAGCAGAGUACGCAGAGUGCGUAGGGCAGCAAGUACCUGGGGGGGGCAACAAAAAUUAAAGUUUGUAAAAAAUAAAAUACAAUUAUUACAUUAUUGAGUGACAAAAAUAUAUAAAUUAGCUAUGAAGUGGCCCACCGUUGUUUUUUCUUAAUUGUAUAACCUAUCACUCAAUUUCGGCAGAUUUCUAAUACAUAAAAUUUGGUAAUUUUAUGUAUUUCGGUAGUGCACCAAAACGGCCAGCAUCGGCCCUGGCUGAAGUCAAUCUCCAUCUCCUUUGUCAUACUGGUGUUCAUCUGAAGAUGUUUUUUUCCACACCAUUCAACAAAGCUGGUGAUGACCCCCCUGUACUCCAGCUUAUUCCCCUUUUUAACACAGCCAAAAACAAUUGUUGGCUAUGUUAUCAGAGAACUUCUGGAGAUGACAACUGUCUGUAAUGUAUCUGAACAGAAAGGGGCACAGGGCCUUGUGGGGUCCCUGUGCAGAGUACCACAUCCGAGUCACAGCCACGCAGCCUCACGUACUGUGGUCUGUUGGCGAGGUGGUCCAUGAUCCAGGCAGCAAGAUGACAGUAGUUAACAUGAACAUUAUUCCCUUAGUUACCAUUAUCCCCAUUAUAAACAUGACCACCAUGCUUAUUACUGCAUGCAUUAACUCAUGUGAAUGAACGUUUUAUUAGUGUACCUUUAUUGUAAAGUGAAACCGCCUUGUUGAACCUAAGAUUCAAAUAUUAUUAAAGAAUAAAUCUUUAACAAUUCUGAGAUAUCUGAUGGUCACAAUAUGUAUAGAUAUUUGAAUGGAUGGUCAGCCAUUUCUUGUUGUGUUAUUGGUUGAUCAGAAUAUUCCUUCAGCCUCCUGAAUGGAUAGUUGUGAAACCUGCUCAUUAACUACAUCACACUGCAAAAAGCAAAGCAAAUAACUUCAAGGACUCAUUCAGCAGUGUUUUCGUCAGGAAGAGGUCAGCUUUUAUCUGCAUGUUGAUACACAACACAGAGGCAAUGUGUCUCUCAGAAGUAGGAUGGGCACAUGCAUGGGGCCUUGGCUGUCUAGUAGUAUCCACUAGGCAGCCUGAACAGCCAGCCACAGUCUAUUUCGGGGUGCCUUGGAUAUGUGGGGACCUCGAAGGCUUAUCUGGUGUUUGGUGAUGGGAGACGAUUGGCCCAGGGGAUGACCCUGCAAAUCACCACACAGGUGACAUAAUCUCCUGUUGAACACACCAUAACAUGGAUUAUGGUGGUUUAUUUUAGUGUGUGUGUGUGUGUGUGUGUGUGUGUGUGUGUGUGUGUGUGUGUGUGUGUGUGUGUGUGUGUGUGUGUGUGUGUGUGUGUGUGUGUAUGCAUGUGUGUGUACUUGCAUGAUUUCCAUCUUGCAUCAUGCAUGUCAAUAUUUGUGGUUUGUUAUGUUGAUGCUCUUGCCAUGUGUUUACCAGAAAGAGACUCCUGGUGAACCCUAUCAGACUAUUUAUCUCUGGCUGUAAAUCCUUUAAGACCAUUAACAGAACAUCGCUACUCAACAACAGUUCUCAGAACAUGAAGAUAAACACUUAGUGAACACAUAAGACAUCUGAAUUCUUACACAAGCAACAAAAUGUUGUUCUGCUGGAUUGUGUGUGUGUGUGUGUGUGUGUGUGUGUGUGUGUGUGUGUGUGUGUGUGUGUGUGUGUGUGUGUGUGUGUGUGUGUGUGUGUGUGUGUGUGUGGCAGGGUGAGAAAAACACACACACAAACACAAACACACACACCCAGGACCCACACAAGGUACCCUUAGCAUACCUUGAGAUUUCAGGGAGCUUUUCUCCACCAACCUGUUAAAUUUGAUUAUAUGCAUACAAGGCCAGGUGUGAGUGUGUUUAGCCAUCACAAGACGUUUCAAGAUCUGACUUGCCCUGUUACUUAUGGACAUCAUAAGUGGGAGAGUCCAUCCAUUGGUAAGAUGGAUGGGCUGGUAGGCUUAUCUAUCCAUCAUGCAUCCAAGUGGACAGAGGCGCCGCAUCCCAUUAGGCAUACCAGGCAACUGCCUGGGGCCCCGCAAUUGUUUGAGGGCCCCGGGCCACGGGGGGGGGCCCCUAGAGCAAAAAAAAAUAAAUAA
ensembl:lncRNA